rnacentral:lncRNA from 1 species
GCAGUCCAAUCCUCUUGCCGAAUCCCUGACCACAACUGCAAUUUUGCUCAAGGAGGGAAGAAAGCCGGAGAAAAGAUACGGUUUCCUUCCCCCAAGAGGACAUCCUAGAAUCUCGUCAAAUUCUUCAACAGUCGGUACUAAUUGGAAGUCUCCAAACGUGAAGCAUCUCAAAGGCUGGUCAUAGUAUUGGGUGAGUGAUGCAAUGGCUUAUGGGGAUAUCUCUGC